GAGAUGCUUUAACCUUGGGGGGACCUAGUAAUUGUGCGGUGUUGUGAGUGUUAGAAACACCACACGAUCCACUAGGUCUCACCUGGGCUCCUUGCCUC
rnacentral:pre_miRNA from 1 species